UACGAAGGGGGCUAGCGUUGCUCGGAAUCACUGGGCGUAAAGCGCACGUAGGCGGAUUGUUAAGUCAGGGGUGAAAUCCUGGAGCUCAACUCCAGAACUGCCUUUGAUACUGGCGAUCUUGAGUCCGGGAGAGGUGAGUGGAACUGCGAGUGUAGAGGUGAAAUUCGUAGAUAUUCGCAAGAACACCAGUGGCGAAGGCGGCUCACUGGCCGGUACUGACGCUGAGGUGCGAAAGCGUGGGGAGCAAACAGG
rnacentral:rRNA from 1 species